GCAUAGCUCAGUCGGUAGAGCAUGAGACUCUUAAUCUCAGAGUCCUGGGUUUGAUCCCCAUGUUGAGCA
rnacentral:tRNA from 1 species